rnacentral:lncRNA from 1 species
AAUAAUGCCACAUGUUUCACUGAUGACUUUGGUAUACCAUGGAAGCGCACAUAUGGAGCGUCUGAUCAACCACAUCAAUUAAUGAGGCUUGAUCAGACGCUCCUUGUUUUUUUGAUUUUAUUAAAUUCUGUUUUAAUUUCUUUUAUUUUCUUUAUUUUCAAAAAUUAAUAACUUCUUCAUUUUAAAUCCAAAAAAUAUGGGACCAAUUGCAUUCUUCU